rnacentral:rRNA from 1 species
UGGAUGAACGCUAGCUACAGGCUUAACACAUGCAAGUCGAGGGGCAGCAUCAUCAAAGCUUGCUUUGAUGGAUGGCGACCGGCGCACGGGUGAGUAACACGUAUCCAACCUGCCGACAACACUGGGAUAGCCUUUCGGAAGAAAGAUUAAUACCGGAUGGCAUAGUUUUCCCGCAUGGGAUAAUUAUUAAAGAAUUUCGGUUGUCGAUGGGGAUGCGUUCCAUUAGGCAGUUGGCGGGGUAACGGCCCACCAAACCAACGAUGGAUAGGGGUUCUGAGAGGAAGGUCCCCCACAUUGGAACUGAGACACGGUCCAAACUCCUACGGGAGGCAGCAGUGAGGAAUAUUGGUCAAUGGACGAGAGUCUGAACCAGCCAAGUAGCGUGAAGGAUGACUGCCCUAUGGGUUGUAAACUUCUUUUAUACGGGAAUAAAGUGAGCCACGUGUGGCUUUUUGUAUGUACCGUAUGAAUAAGGAUCGGCUAACUCCGUGCCAGCAGCCGCGGUAAUACGGAGGAUCCGAGCGUUAUCCGGAUUUAUUGGGUUUAAAGGGAGCGUAGGCGGGUUGUUAAGUCAGUUGUGAAAGUUUGCGGCUCAACCGUAAAAUUGCAGUUGAUACUGGCGACCUUGAGUGCAACAGAGGUAGGCGGAAUUCGUGGUGUAGCGGUGAAAUGCUUAGAUAUCACGAAGAACUCCGAUUGCGAAGGCAGCUUACUGGAUUGUAACUGACGCUGAUGCUCGAAAGUGUGGGUAUCAAACAGGAUUAGAUACCCUGGUAGUCCACACAGUAAACGAUGAAUACUCGCUGUUGGCGAUAUACGGUCAGCGGCCAAGCGAAAGCAUUAAGUAUUCCACCUGGGGAGUACGCCGGCAACGGUGAAACUCAAAGGAAUUGACGGGGGCCCGCACAAGCGGAGGAACAUGUGGUUUAAUUCGAUGAUACGCGAGGAACCUUACCCGGGCUUAAAUUGCAACUGACGGAACCGGAAACGGUUCUUUCUUCGGACAGUUGUGAAGGUGCUGCAUGGUUGUCGUCAGCUCGUGCCGUGAGGUGUCGGCUUAAGUGCCAUAACGAGCGCAACCCUUACGGGUAGUUACCAUCAGGUUAUGCUGGGGACUCUACCCGGACUGCCGUUGUAAGAUGUGAGGAAGGUGGGGAUGACGUCAAAUCAGCACGGCCCUUACGUCCGGGGCUACACACGUGUUACAAUGGGGGGUACAGAAGGCAGCUACACGGCGACGUGGUGCUAAUCCCAAAAGCCUCUCUCAGUUCGGAUUGGAGUCUGCAACCCGACUCCAUGAAGCUGGAUUCGCUAGUAAUCGCGCAUCAGCCACGGCGCGGUGAAUACGUUCCCGGGCCUUGUACACACCGCCCGUCAAGCCAUGAAAGCCGGGGGUACCUGAAGUACGUAACCGCGAGGAGCGUCCUAGGGUAA